GCAGUAGGGGAGACUGGAAUUCCUGGUGUAGCGGUGGAAUGCGCAGAUAUCAGGAGGAACACCGAUGGCGAAGGCAGGUCUCUGGGCUGUAACUGACGCUGAGAAGCGAAAGCAUGGGGAGCGAACAGGAUUAGAUACCCUGGUAGUCCAUGCCGUAAACGUCGGGCACUAGGUGUGGGGGACAUUCCACGUUUUCCGCGCCGUAGCUAACGCAUUAAGUGCCCCGCCUGGGGAGUACGGCCGCAAGGCUAAAACUCAAAGGAAUUGACGGGGGCCCGCACAAGCGGUGGAGCAUGUGGCUUAAUUCGAAGCAACGCGAAGAACCUUACCAGGUCUUGACAUCCCUCUGACCACUCUAGAGAUAGAGUUUCCUUCGGGGCAGAGG
rnacentral:rRNA from 1 species